UGGGUAACCUGCCUCAAAGAGGGGAAUAGCCUCCCGAAAGGGAGAUUAAUACCGCAUAAUAUGUUUUAGUCGCAUGACUUAAACAUCAAAGGAUUUUCUUUUAGAAAUUCCACUUUGAGAUGGACCCGCGGCGCAUUAGCUAGUUGGUGAGGUAACGGCUCACCAAGGCAACGAUGCGUAGCCGACCUGGAGGGGGUNAUCGGCCACAUUGGAACUGAGACACGGCCCAGACUCCGUACGGGAGCAG
rnacentral:rRNA from 1 species